rnacentral:lncRNA from 1 species
CCUGGAAAAAGAAUACACCAGUACAGAGAUGACUCUUCUAUGCCUGCAGGUAGCUUCUGCCCUGUCAAUUGGCAAGUGUGGCUCAGUAAGUGUCUUAUCUGGAAUUCAUUUACAGAGCUCAUGAAGCAAAAAAUUCAGAUAUGGAGCCUAAAAAGCAGUACAUGUGCCUUGUUCUGGCACCAGAUGAGGAAGAACAGCAGUCAAGUGCUGGCCCCCAGAUGCCCCACAGUCCCUUGCAGCUGCAGAAGACAAGACCCAACCUGA